rnacentral:tRNA from 1 species
GGAGCGGUGCGCGGGAGCCCCGGAGGGCGGACCCCGGGUCCGCCGCGAGGGCUCGUCGCGAGGGCCCGGGUCCGUGCCCGGCCGGUCCG